GCGGCUCCUCCGCCGGUUGCAGAGUUCUGCUGGGCGGCUGGCAGAGGACUGAGAGGGAGCACUGUAGCUCAGG
rnacentral:miRNA from 1 species